GAGCGGCGUGGAGCAGUGGCAGCUCGUCGGGCUCAUAACCCGAAGGUCGCCGGUUCGAGUCCGGCCGCCGCAACACCA
rnacentral:tRNA from 1 species